UAAGUUAAUAAGGGCGCACGGUGGAUGCCUUGGCACUAGGAGCCGACGAAGGACGUGACAAACGACGAUAUGCCUUGGGUAGCUGUAAGUAAGCGAUGAUCCAGGGAUUUCCGAAUGGGGGAACCCAACAGGUAAUACCUGUUACCUACAUCUGUUAAGGAUGUGAGGAGGAAGACGCAGUGAACUGAAACAUCUAAGUAGCUGCAGGAAGAGAAAGCAAAAGCGAUUGCCUUAGUAGCGGCGAGCGAAACGGCAGAAGGGCAAACCGAAGAGUUUACUCUUCGGGGUUGUAGGACUGCAAUGUGGACUCAAAGAUUAUAGAAGAAUGAUUUGGGAAGAUCAGCCAAAGAGAGUAAUAGCCUCGUAUUUAAAAUAGUCUUUGUACUUAGCAGUAUCCUGAGUACGGCGGGACACGUGAAAUCCCGUCGGAAUCUGGGAGGACCAUCUCCCAACCCUAAAUACUCCCUAGUGACCGAUAGUGAACCAGUACCGUGAGGGAAAGGUGAAAAGCACCCCGGGAGGGGAGUGAAAUAGAACCUGAAACCGUGUGCCUACAACAAGUUCGAGCCCGUUAAUAGGUGAGAGCGUGCCUUUUGUAGAAUGAACCGGCGAGUUACGUUAUGAUGCGAGGUUAAGUUGAAGAGACGGAGCCGUAGGGAAACCGAGUCUGAAUAGGGCGCCUUAGUAUCAUGACGUAGACCCGAAACAUGUGACCUACCCAUGAGCAGGUUGAAGGUGCGGUAAGACGCACUGGAGGACCGAACCAGGGCUCGUUGAAAAGUGCUUGGAUGACUUGUGGGUAGCGGAGAAAUUCCAAACGAACUUGGAGAUAGCUGGUUCUCUCCGAAAUAGCUUUAGGGCUAGCGUCGACAUUAGAGAUUCUUGGAGGUAGAGCACUGUUUGGGUGAGGGGUCCAUCCCGGAUUACCAAUCUCAGAUAAACUCCGAAUGCCAAUGAAUUAUGGUCGGCAGUCAGACUGCGAGUGCUAAGAUCCGUAGUCGAAAGGGAAACAGCCCAGACCACCAGCUAAGGUCCCAAAAUAAUUGUUAAGUGGAAAAGGAUGUGGGGUUGCACAGACAACUAGGAUGUUAGCUUAGAAGCAGCUAUUCAUUCAAAGAGUGCGUAAUAGCUCACUAGUCGAGUGACCCUGCGCCGAAAAUGUACCGGGGCUAAAACAAUUUACCGAAGCUGUGGAUACCUUUAUAGGUAUGGUAGGAGAGCGUUCUAUGUGUGAUGAAGGUAUACCGUGAGGAUGCUGGAACGCAUAGAAGUGAGAAUGCCGGUAUGAGUAGCGAAAGACAGGUGAGAAUCCUGUCCACCGUAAGACUAAGGUUUCCAGGGGAAGGCUCGUCCGCCCUGGGUUAGUCGGGACCUAAGGAGAGACCGAAAGGUGUAUCCGAUGGACAACAGGUUGAUAUUCCUGUACUAGAGUAUGUAGUGAUGGAGGGACGCAGUAGGCUAACUAAAGCAGACGAUUGGAAGAGUCUGUCUAAGCAGUGAGGUGUGAAUUGAGUCAAAUGCUUAAUUCUAUAACAUUGAGCUGUGAUGGGGAGCGAAGUUUAGUAGCGAAGUUAGUGACGUCACACUGCCAAGAAAAGCUUCUAGCGUUUAAACAUACUCUACCCGUACCGCAAACCGACACAGGUAGUCGAGGCGAGUAGCCUCAGGUGAGCGAGAGAACUCUCGUUAAGGAACUCGGCAAAAUGACCCCGUAACUUCGGGAGAAGGGGUGCUGACUUUAAGUCAGCCGCAGUGAAUAGGCCCAAGCAACUGUUUAUCAAAAACACAGCUCUCUGCUAAAUCGUAAGAUGAUGUAUAGGGGGUGACGCCUGCCCGGUGCUGGAAGGUUAAGAGGAGUGCCUAGCGUAAGCGAAGGUAUGAAUUGAAGCCCCAAGUAAACGGCGGCCGUAACUAUAACGGUCCUAAGGUAGCGAAAUUCCUUGUCGGGUAAGUUCCGACCCGCACGAAAGGCGUAAUGAUUUGGGCACUGUCUCAACGAGAGACUCGGUGAAAUUUUAGUACCUGUGAAGAUGCAGGUUACCCGCGACAGGACGGAAAGACCCCAUGGAGCUUUACUGCAGUUUGAUAUUGAGUGUCUGUACCACAUGUACAGGAUAGGUAGGAGUCUAAGAGAUCGGGACGCCAGUUUCGAAGGAGACGCUGUUGGGAUACUACCCUUGUGUUAUGGCCACUCUAACCCAGAUAGGUGAUCCCUAUCGGAGACAGUGUCUGGACGGGCAGUUUGACUGGGGCGGUCGCCUCCUAAAAGGUAACGGAGGCGCCCAAAAGGUUCCCUCAGAAUGGUUGGAAAUCAUUCGCAGAGUGUAAAGGUAUAAGGGAGCUUGACUGCGAGAGCUACAACUCGAGCAGGGACGAAAGUCGGGCUUAGUGAUCCGGUGGUUCCGUAUGGAAGGGCCAUCGCUCAACGGAUAAAAGCUACCCUGGGGAUAACAGGCUUAUCUCCCCCAAGAGUUCACAUCGACGGGGAGUUUGGCACCUCGAUGUCGGCUCGUCGCAUCCUGGGGCUGUAGUCGGUACCCAAGGCUUGGGCUGUUCGCCCAUUAAAGCGGCACGCGAGCUGGGUUCAGAACGUCGUGAGACAGUUCGGUCCCUAUCCGUCGCGGGCGUAGGAAAUUUGAGAGGAUCUGCUCCUAGUACGAGAGGACCAGAGUGGACUUACCGCUGGUGUACCAGUUGUCUUGCCAAAGGCAUCGCUGGGUAGCUAUGUAGGGAAGGGAUAAACGCUGAAAGCAUCUAAGUGUGAAACCCACCUCAAGAUGAGAUUUCCCAUGAUUAUAUAUCAGUAAGAGCCCUGAGAGAUGAUCAGGUAGAUAGGUUAGAAGUGGAAGUGUGGCGACACAUGUAGCGGACUAAUACUAAUAGCUCGAGGACUUAUCCG
rnacentral:rRNA from 1 species